AUCAACGCUGGCGGCGUGCCUUAACACAUGCAAGUCGAACGAGAAGUGGGAGGCAACUCCAUCGAGUUACAGUGGCGGACGGGUGAGUAACACGUGACUAACCUACCCUCGAGUGGGGAAUAACUUCGGGAAACCGGAGCUAAUACCGCAUAACAUCUCGGACGAGAGUCUUGAUCAAAGCGGAAGGUCGCAUCUCGCUACCGGAGGGGGCCGCGGCCUGAUUAGCUAGUUGGUAGGGUAACGGCCUACCAAGGCUGCAGAUCGGUAUCCGGCCUGAGAGGGUGAUCGGCCACACCUGGAACUGAAACACGGUCCAGACUCCUACGGGAGGCAGCAGUGGGGAAUCUUGCGCAAUGGGCGAAAGCCUGACGCAGCAACGCCGCGUGGAGGAUGAAGUCCCUUGGGAUUGUAAACUCCUUUCGGACUGGGAAGAUACGUGACGGUGCUACCCCCGUUGACUGUACCAGCAAGAAGCCCCGGCUAACUCUGUGCCAGCAGCCGCGGUAAUACAGAGGGUGCCGAGCGUUGUUCGGAAUUAUUGGGCGUAAAGGGCGCGUAGGCGGGCCGCGUAAGUCACUUCGUGAAAUCUCCUCGGCUUAACUGGAGUACGUGCAGGAGAAACUGCGAUGCUCGAGUACCGGGAGAGGGAGGUGGAAUUCCCGGUGUAGCGGUGAAAUGCGUAGAUAUCGGGAGGAACACCUGUGGCUGAAAGGCGGCCUUCCUGGACACAUACUGACGCUGAGGCGCGAAAGCGUAGGGGAGCAAACAGGAUUAGAUACCCUGGUAGUCCAGCCUUAAACUAUGGCAGCUAGGUGUCCGGGUAUGGGUACCCAAUCCAUCGUGCCGCAGCUAACGCGAUUAAGUGCCCCGCCUGGGGAGCUACGGUCCGCAAGGCUGAAAACUCAAAGGAAUUGACGGGGGCCCGCACAAGCGGUGGAGCAUGUGGUUCAAUUCGACGCAACGCGAAGAACCUUACCCUGGGCUAGACAACAGGAGGGACAUCCGGUGGAACAUAGGCUGCCCUGCAAGGGACCGCUGUAUCAGGUGCUGCAUGGCUGUCGUCAGCUCGUGUCGUGAGAUGUUGGGUUAAGUCCCGCAACGAGCGCAACCCUUGCCUCUAGUUGCCAUCAUUUAGUUGGGCACUCUAGAGGGACUGCCCGUGUCAAACGGGAGGAAGGCGGGGAUGACGUCAAGUCCUCAUGGCCCUUAUGUCCGGGGCUACACACGUGCUACAAUGGGCGGUACAAAGGGUUGCAAACCCGCGAGGGGGAGCCAAUCCCAAAAAGCCGCUCUCAGUUCGGAUUGGAGUCUGCAACUCGACUCCAUGAAGGUGGAAUCGCUAGUAAUCGCGGAUCAGCAUGCCGCGGUGAAUACGUUCCCGGGCCUUGUACACACCGCCCGUCACACCAUGGAAGCCCGCUGUACCGGAAGUCGGUGAUGGAACCCGCAAGGGGCCUAGCCGCCGAUGGUAUGACUGGUGACUGGGGUG
rnacentral:rRNA from 1 species